GGGAUAUAUAUGCUAAAUUAAUUCAUUUACAGGCUAAUACAACGUCUAAAAAUUGAUCUAUAAGAGUAGUCAACUUGCAAAAUGUGGUUCAAUUUAUUUAAAAACAAAGCAUGGGUUUAUUUUAUUUUGCCUCACUAGUGGUCAUCUCAUGAUGCAGAAUAAGCUCCUUAAUGAAUCUACUAAAAUCAUUGUAUGAUGAUCCACCUACAUCAGUAGCUUCCUCUGCUUUCCUUUUCCAUUUCAAAGCCUUUUGUCUCAUUUGCUUCCCAUUAUCUCCAUCCAUCAUUUCCUUAAGCAGACAUACAAUUUCAUCACGCUUCACAUCAGCAUUGACCUCCAUUCCAAUUCCCCAACUGGUGCAUGCAUACCUACAAUUUGUUUGUUGCUCUGCAAAAAAUGGCCAACAUAUUACAGGCACUCCUGCACAUAUACUUUCCAUCAAAGAAUUCCACCCACAAUGUGUUAGGAAAACACCAACAGAUGGAUGUGAAAGCACUUGAUCCUGUGGACACCAACUCGCUAUAUAUCCUCUAUCUUUAAUCUCUUCAAGGAACUCCUCAGGCAGGAUUGCAGAAUCUCCCAUCACCACAUCAGGCCUAACAAUCCACAAAAAUGAGUAUUUGCUAUUUGCUAGCCCCCAUGCAAAUUCCUUCAAGUGGUGGUCUGUCAUCACAGUCACACUGCCAUAAUUGACAUACACAACUGAAUUGGGUUCUCUUUGAUCGAGCCAUUCGAGACAAUUUGCGUCUUCUUUCCAUAAAUUUGACUUGAAUGAAUGGAGUUCAGUCACUGGCAUGUGCCUUCCGAGCAAGGAGAGUGGACCUAUUGAGUAAAUAUGAGGACACUUGGCUGCAAUAGCACCUAAUACUUCAUGUUCAAACUCAUCAAAUGUAUUGAAGAUAAUUGCUGAAGCAUUUAAGCAGUUUUCAGCUUCAGAUUUUAGAAAAUCAUACAGGAUUUCUCCAACAUCUGUGGUUCUAACAAAGCUUGGCAUAUCCUUAAUGCGGACGUUACUCAUGCCUGGGAUCCAAUCUAUUGGAGUAUCGAGUGUGCCAUCCGUAAGAAAGCUUUCAUCUUUAAAAGGGAUAAUGCCUCUCCUGUUGAAUUCAUCGAAUUGCAAAUAUCCCAUGAGACCACAGGCUGAGGCAGUCCAGAACUGAACCUCAGGUAUGCCUAAUUCUUGUGCUGCUUUAACAGCAAAGCUCACGACACCAUCUGAAAUUAUGCAACUAACUUCAGAUGAUGAAUGGAGCUUAGAAAGCAGCUCCAAGAAUGGAGCCAAGCAAUUAUUUCGAACCGCAUCACACAAAGCUGGAGGAUCUUGAGUAGCAUCACGAUCAGAUGGAGGCAAUCCUUCAGGUAUUGUUUCAAAGCGAAAAUUAGGUAAGCCCUUCAUAGCCUCUGGUCCUUUGGAUCUAAGAAGACGUCUGUGAUUGAACUCUGUGUUAACGAAGGUUAUGUGGAAACCUGCUGCAUGUAGAAGCUUGGCUAGUUGCAUGAAGGGGUUGAUAUGGCCUUGUGCUGGAAACGGCACUAGGACUAUAUGGGGCUUUUGGGCUGCACCGGAGUCCAUCCUUCAGUUAUGGCACUCUAUUGAAACAACUGUAGAAGCUUAAAGCUUGCGUAUCUCUGCUGUUCUUAAUUUAUAGAUAUUUAGGUUCUAGUGUAGGAAGUUGCGUGUGUUGACUUUCUCGCCAAGACUUGUGGCCGGAGAAAAAGGCUAAUUAUUAGUUACAUUAAUUGCACUGAAAAAUAAUGCUCCUUCUCUUAUAGAAAGUUAGUCUGUCAUAUUAGAUAUGAAGUGAAU
rnacentral:misc_RNA from 1 species